rnacentral:rRNA from 1 species
UACGUAGGCAGCGAGCGUUGUUCGGAGUUACUGGGCGUAAAGGGUGCGUAGGCGGCCGCGCGCGUGGCGGGUGAAAUCUCUCGGCUUACCCGGGAGGGUGCUUGCCAGACGGCGUGGCUUGAGGGACGGAGAGGGGCGUGGAAUUCCGGGUGGAGCGGUGAAAUGCGUAGAGAUCCGGAGGAACACCGACGGCGUAGGCAGCGCCCUGGCCGUUUCCUGACGCUGAUGCACGAAAGCUGGGGGAGCAAACAGG